AUAAUAACAUUGUUUUACUUUGUUUGAUGCAUUUUUGUGUUCAUCACUUUACAUUUUCCGCUGGAAAAGUUGGAGCUCAUUAAAAAAUGCAUUUACUGCUAGGCAGCAUUUGAUUAAUAAUAAUAUCUCAUCAUGAUGUGUUAGCUGUUUUUAUUUAUUUUUUAAAUAUGAUUAACUUGAAUCUGUAAAGGAACUAGUGCCUGAAGUUAUCAGAUAAAUGUCUUGGAGUACAAAGUAAAUUAUUUGACUCAAAAAUGUAGCGAAAUAGUAAACCUAUAAAGAAGCAGAAAAUGGAAUUUUUUGUCCCCAGGCCUUCUGCUGUAAGACAGAGAAUCUGCCUGUCCAUCUCAAAGAGUGAAGAAAUGCAACCCAC